rnacentral:rRNA from 1 species
AUUGAACGCUGGCGGCAUGCUUUACACAUGCAAGUCGAACGGCAGCGCGGGGGCAACCCUGGCGGCGAGUGGCGAACGGGUGGGUAAUGUAUCGGAACGUACCCAGUCGUGGGGGAUAACGUAGCGAAAGCUACGCUAAUACCGCAUACGAUCUAUGGAUGAAAGCGGGGGACCGUAAGGCCUCGUGCGAUUGGAGCGGCCGAUAGCAGAUUAGGUAGUUGGUGGGGUAAAGGCCCACCAAGCCGACGAUCUGUAGCUGGUCUGAGAGGACGACCAGCCACACUGGGACUGAGACACGGCCCAGACUCCUACGGGAGGCAGCAGUGGGGAAUUUUGGACAAUGGGCGCAAGCCUGAUCCAGCAAUGCCGCGUGCAGGAUGAAGGCCUUCGGGUUGUAAACUGCUUUUGUACGGAGCGAAAAGGCUCUCUCUAAUACAGGGGGCUCAUGACGGUACCGUAAGAAUAAGCACCGGCUAACUACGUGCCAGCAGCCGCGGUAA